AAGUCGUAACAAGGUUUCUGUAGGUGAACCUGCAGAAGGAUCAUUAGUGAAUUACUAGGACGUCCAUUAAACCGGAGUCCGAACAACACUCUUAAACACCAAACCCCGUGAACUGUGUACACCCUUUUUUAAACGCGAAAUAAGUAACAGAAAGUCCACUGCGCAUGCAGUAAACAAACAAAUAAAACUUUCAACAACGGAUGUCUUGGCUCUC
rnacentral:misc_RNA from 1 species